CCUCUUUUUUCAUCAUUAUUUCUCUCUCCAUCUCCCUAUAUAAACCCCUAGCAACCAUGCAACUCCUCCACCACCUCAAACAAACAAAAAAAAAAAUAUUCUCGUUACGAUAAAGCGUUUGUUAGAGUUUAAGGUUGGUUUAUAAAUAGACUUGUGGAAUAAUAUAAGCUUCGUUGAAGGCAAAAGAAAAGAGGCCGGCGGGGAAAGAUGAACUACAGGAAAGAGGGUCCAAAGCUAGAUUUGAAGCUCAACUUAUCACCGCCGCGAGCCACCGCUCCACAGUACUCAUCACCGCUAAGAUCGUCGUCGCCGCCGAGCUCAUGCGUGUCCUGGGAGGCGAGCCCGGCGGACGGGGGCGGCGCCGCCGAGGCCACUUCAAUGAUGAUGCUGGUUGGGUGCCCGAGAUGCCUAAUGUAUGUUAUGCUGGCGCAAGAGGACCCAAAAUGCCCCAAGUGCAAAAGCACCGUCUUGCUUGACUUCUUCCAUGAAGAAAGGACCAAGAACUCUAACAAGAAGUCGCCAUGAACAACCUUCUCAGCUCCCUCAUCAUUUACAUUAAUAUAUAUCAAUUGUUUUCUGAUAUGAUCUUCUGUUGUUAAGUUUCUACCUCUGAUGAUCUCUUAUUAUUAUUAUUAUUAUUAUUAUUAUUAUUAUUUUGUUGUUGCUAAUAAAUUUACUGGUUUUGGAGUUGUAUUAUUCUUUAGAUAUUUAUUUAUUUUUUUUGGGGGGGGGGUAAUAUCUUCAUAAUAUGCAUGCAGCUGCUAUUAAUAUUAGCAGCUCUUAGUUGCUAUCA